CCUGUCCCACAGAGAGGGUGGCCCACUCUCUGGGCAGUGCAUGUGUUUACCUGGCAGUCAGGAAGCCCUGCACACAGCUCUGUUUGGAGUGUACUUUUUGUCUUUCAGCGAAGCCCAGGCGUUAGUCUGGGGAACACACACUCCCCGCCUCGGGGGACUUGCUGCUCCUGACCUGCUUACCAGAUGUCCCAAAGGCACUUUGACCUUUGGCAUUUGUCUUUCGGGGUGCAUCCUGUUACAUCACAGAGUGUGGCCUGUGGAGCCCGGGAUGGAACUCACUAGCUGUGCACUGGCGUGGGCCCAGUGCUCCCUGCAACGCUGUCAACUUUCCUCCAAGUAUGCAUGUGCACAUAAGGACCAAGUUCUCUCUGAGGAACUGAGUGCGAAUCCUGAGGAUCAUUCCAAGACUGGCCGGUACAACUCUCCCUGGCAAGAGCUCCAUGCUCUUCUGCACCCAGUGAUGAGGAUCCAGGGGAAGGGAGUGGAACCCCAGGGUAGGACGUGGGUCCUCAGGAGACCCACCAUGACUCACACAGCACUGCUCUUUGCUUUCAGCGCCACAAUCACUCGUGGACUCAGCGCCCAGCGUAAAAGAUGGACUAUUUCUUGGAAGUGCCCUCUGCCCAUUCAGUCAUGGGAUGGGUCCGUUACUUAGCAGAGCCAGAAGUUUGGCAACCAAGGGAGACCCUGGCUUUAAUCGGCGUGAUCCAGAUCAUUCCAGCACCCAGUGAUGUCGUGAGCCCAGUGAAAAAUAGUGCCGCGAUAGUAGAACUGUGAGUGCACCUCCCUGGAUGGCGGAUUCUCUUCACUGAGAGCGAGGCUGUCGCUCCCUUGCGGGACGGAGAAGGGAGGGGAGGUCCCAGAUGUAGCAGCGGCAGCAGCAGCUCUCCCAUGGUGCCCCUGGCAGCAGGGUCCAACCCCUGACACGCAUUGUCUGCGUUUCCGGAGGUGCGGAAGUCAGGCCGCCAUGGUCUCGGACGGUGGCUCACGAGGACCAAGUUCCUAAGCGACUGGACGAAGGUGGUCUCCUCAGAGUUUGGCAUAGGUUAAUGCAAUUUCCCGGAGUCGGCAGCUCCGAUGGCGUUGGUGAGAUUCCCUCUUGGUCCUUUUCUCCUGCACCCUCCCCAACAACUUGUUAUGGGGCAUUAUUAGCUUUCCGUUAUUUUUGCUGAUAUCUAUUGAAACUUGCUAUUUCUUUGCGUUUGUGGGCCAUAUGUGUUUUUAUUACCUGGAAAUACUUGUUCAUGCCUUUUAACUAUUUUAUUGUGUUUUUAUUCUUUCCUUAUGAUUUCUAAGUAGUUUUAAAAUUUGAUUGCUUACAUGCAUGGAAAUAUUUUUCCCAAUUAAUUUCAUGUAUUUUCACUUUAUUGUUUUCUGAUUAGCAAGUGGUUU
rnacentral:lncRNA from 1 species